rnacentral:rRNA from 1 species
GGACCCGCACAAGCAGUGGAGCAUGUGGUUUAAUUCGAAGAUACGCGCAGAACCUUACCAACACUUGACAUGUUCGUCGCGACUUUAAGAGAUUAAAGUUUUCGGUUCGGCCGGACGAAACACAGGUGCUGCAUGGCUGUCGUCAGCUCGUGUCGUGAGAUGUUGGGUUAAGUCCCGCAACGAGCGCAACCCUCACUUUUAGUUGCCAUCAUUUAGUUGGGCACUCUGAAAGAACUGCCAGUGAUAAGCUGGAGGAAGGUGGGGAUGACGUCAAGUCCUCAUGGCCCUUACGUGUUGGGCUACACACGUGCUACAAUGGCAUUUACAAUAGGAAGCAAAACGGCGACGUU